rnacentral:rRNA from 1 species
UACGAAGGGUGCAAGCGUUACUCGGAAUUACUGGGCGUAAAGCGUGCGUAGGUGGUGAGUUAAGUCUGAUGUGAAAUCCCCGGGCUCAACCUGGGAAUGGCAUUGGAUACUGGCUCGCUAGAGUGCGGUAGAGGGUGGUGGAAUUCCCGGUGUAGCAGUGAAAUGCGUAGAGAUCGGGAGGAACAUCUGUGGCGAAGGCGGCCACCUGGACCAACACUGACACUGAGGCACGAAAGCGUGGGGAGCAAACAG